rnacentral:misc_RNA from 1 species
AAGUCGUAACAAGGUUUCCGUAGGUGAACCUGCGGAGGGAUCCUCACAUAGCAAACGCUUUGUAUACCAAUAUUCAAACUCAACGCGAACCGUAACGUCCCUAUUUGAUGGAUGAAUCCUGAGUGCUUGCACUUGAGUGAAAUCAAUCGAGUAGACAAUACCCCCAGAGUUCAUCUCAUCAGACUCGUUUGAUGAGUGGACUCGUUCUUACUCACCAAUUUUUAACCUAUAAUGAAUGAAUUGUCUUAUCUUCAACUUCAGCUAGCAAAUCCAUCUCGACACUUGUGUCAUUUUGGUUUUGUUUGUUUGAAUUUACGAAAUAAUGAACAACUCUUAGUAAUGGAUAUCUUGGGUCAA